rnacentral:rRNA from 1 species
GAUGAACGCUAGCGGGAGGCCUAACACAUGCAAGCCGAGCGGUAGAAAGUAGCUUGCUACUUUUGAGAGCGGCGUACGGGUGCGUAACACGUGUGCAACCUGCCUUUAUCUGGAGAAUAGCCUUUCGAAAGGAAGAUUAAUGCUCCAUAACAUAUUGAAUGGCAUCAUUUAAUAUUGAAAGCUCCGGCGGAUAGAGAUGGGCACGCGCAAGAUUAGUUAGUUGGUGAGGUAACGGCUCACCAAGGCGAUGAUCUUUAGGGGGCCUGAGAGGGUGAUCCCCCACACUGGUACUGAGACACGGACCAGACUCCUACGGGAGGCAGCAGUGAGGAAUAUUGGACAAUGGGUGAAAGCCUGAUCCAGCCAUCUCGCGUGAAGGAUGACGGCCCUAUGGGUUGUAAACUUCUUUUGUAUAGGGAUAAACCUACCCUCGUGAGGGUAGCUGAAGGUACUAUACGAAUAAGCACCGGCUAACUCCGUGCCAGCCGCCGCGGUAA